rnacentral:pre_miRNA from 1 species
GUAGUAUUCCCUUCGUCCCAAAAUUCUUGUCUUACAUUUGUUUAGAUACGGAUGUAUCUAACACUAAAAUGUAACUAGAUACAUCCGUAUUUAGACAAAUUUAAGACAAGAAUUUUGGGACGGAGGGAGUACAGA